AUACGUAGGGGGCGAAGCGUUAUCCGGAAUUAUUGGGCGUAAAGAGUACGUAGGCGGUUUCUUUAAGCGUGGGGUGAAAGGCUAUGGCUUAACCAUAGUAAGCCUUGCGAACUGAGAGACUUGAGUGCAGGAGAGGAAAGCGGAAUUCCUAGUGUAGCGGUGAAAUGCGUAGAUAUUAGGAGGAACACCAGUGGCGAAGGCGGCUUUCUUGGGCGUGUAACUGACGCUGAGGUACGAAAGCGUGGGGAGGC
rnacentral:rRNA from 1 species